UAUGACGAGUUAUCACGUCUGAAGUCUUAAGAUAUUGCUACGGAAAUGUCAUCCUUUGGCCAAUUAUUCUUGAAAGGUGUCUGGGUUUUUCAACCGGUUGAUCACGUUAGAUCCACGACAAAGCAGCUUGAAGUCAAGUUUUUUCCUAAGAAAAUAACAUCCUUUGGCCAUCACUCGUGAAUGGCUCAUUGCUAAAGUACCUUCUGAGGGAAGUGAAAGAAAACAAAAAAGGUUCAGAGGGAUUCUGAAGGUGAGAAAGCAGGCAGAGCGAGUUUACAGGCUGCUCUAUGAACAAGAGUCCUUGCUGGCAUAACGCCAGCUUAAUCAUGAACAACAACAAGGCAGAAGACGACGAUGUACUACCAGAUGGAAUUUUUACAAAACAAACACUUCAAGUUACUGUGGCUGGAAAAGGAUUAAUAUAAAGGUUAUAUGACAACUUGCUAUAUACGUAUUAGGAUGCACAGGCUUUAUUGUAAACUUCUUAGUUUAAAUCAACUAUCAAGUAGUUAUGUAUGUCUUAUCUUCCGCUUUAGCGAAAGAUUGUGUGUCUUUUCUUACGACUGUUAUUCGUAAGCAUUGUGGUUCUGCCUCUCAUCUCGUAGACGUGAUAUCUAGUUGGUUCUUCUUUAGAAUAAGGGAGAUGAUUCAAACGGAGGAAGUUGAAAUCUUAACAGCUUUAUUUCUCAACUCCAUCACUAGAGAGAUGGUUUGGUCAGAUGACCGCUCCGUUUCGUAACUAGAAGAGAACUAAUAAUACAAGGCAUCGUGUCGAUAGCGAAACACUAGCUAUCUCAGCGAUUUACACAUAAAAUGAAUACGUAGUCCGCCGGCUCGGAAGUCAUGAGUUUCCGGUGCGGGUUAACAGGUCAACCGCUUCCCAUGGAAGGUGUUGUGAUCAGUUGACAAGAUACAUAAACUGAUGAUAUACCCAAAUGCAAACCAGGCUA